rnacentral:rRNA from 1 species
AAAUUGAAGAGUUUGAUCAUGGCUCAGAUUGAACGCUGGCGGCAGGCCUAACACAUGCAAGUCGAGCGGUAGCACAGAGAGCUUGCUCUCGGGUGACGAGCGGCGGACGGGUGAGUAAUGUCUGGGAAACUGCCUGAUGGAGGGGGAUAACUACUGGAAACGGUAGCUAAUACCGCAUAACGUCGCAAGACCAAAGUGGGGGACCUUCGGGCCUCAUGCCAUCAGAUGUGCCCAGAUGGGAUUAGCUAGUAGGUGGGGUAACGGCUCACCUAGGCGACGAUCCCUAGCUGGUCUGAGAGGAUGACCAGCCACACUGGAACUGAGACACGGUCCAGACUCCUACGGGAGGCAGCAGUGGGGAAUAUUGCACAAUGGGCGCAAGCCUGAUGCAGCCAUGCCGCGUGUGUGAAGAAGGCCUUCGGGUUGUAAAGCACUUUCAGCGGGGAGGAAGGCGGUGAGGUUAAUAACCUCACCGAUUGACGUUACCCGCAGAAGAAGCACCGGCUAACUCCGUGCCAGCAGCCGCGGUAAUACGGAGGGUGCAAGCGUUAAUCGGAAUUACUGGGCGUAAAGCGCACGCAGGCGGUCUGUCAAGUCGGAUGUGAAAUCCCCGGGCUCAACCUGGGAACUGCAUUCGAAACUGGCAGGCUAGAG